rfam:Nicotiana sylvestris Nsyl_contig254836, whole genome shotgun sequence.
GGAUGCGAUCAUACCAUCACUAACGCACCGGAUCCCAUCAGAACUCCGAAGCUAAGCGUGCUUGGGUGAGAGUAGUACUAGGAUGGGUGACCCCUUGGGAAGUCCUCGUAUUGCAUUCC